rnacentral:rRNA from 1 species
UACAGAGGUCUCAAGCGUUUGUUCGGAUUCAUUGGGCGUAAAGGGUGCGUAGGUGGCGGGGUAAGUCGGAUGUGAAAUCCCGGGGCUCAACCUCGGAACUGCAUUCGAUACUGCUUUGCUUGAGUACUGGAGAGGAGAUUGGAAUUUACGGUGUAGCAGUGAAAUGCGUAGAUAUCGUAAGGAAGACCAGUGGCGAAGGCGGGUCUCUGGACAGUUCCUGACGCUGAGGCACGAAGGUCAGGGGAGCAAACGGG